rnacentral:piRNA from 1 species
UGAAAGUGAGCUAUCUCAAGCCUGUGGAAG